GUGAGGUUAGAGACCUCAAGAGCAAACUUAAUGAAAAGAAUACACAGGUUACCGCCCUAACUGCAAAAGUUACACGUUUGGACAACAGGGUCCAGGAACCAACACAAACUUCGACCAAACCCAGCAAAAUCAGUACAAACAUAAGGGCAGCAUUGAAGGCAGCGAUCGACCAUGCUGAAACUGAGAAAGGGUGGACUAUG